CGGCCGCGUCGACUCUGAGAGGAUGAUCAGCCACACCGGGACUGAGACACGGCCCGGACUCCUACGGGAGGCAGCAGUGGGGAAUAUUGCACAAUGGGCGAAAGCCUGAUGCAGCAACGCCGCGUGAGGGACGACGGCCUACGGUUGUAACCUACUUUAGUCAGGAAGAAGCGAAAGUAGACGGUACCUAGCAGAAAAGACACCGGCUAACUACGUAGCCAGCAGCCGCGGUAAUACGUAGGUGCAAGCGUGUCCGGAAUUAUUGGCGUAAGAGAUCGUGACGUGCUGCUGUGUAUAGCUCUGUGUACCUUGCUGGUACUACGUACGUGAACGUCGACCGUACGUCGUAACGCGUACGACGUACCGACGUACCGACGUACGCCGUAACGUACCGUACGUACCGUAACGGUACCUAACGGUACCCGUACGUAACGUACCGUACGUACGUACGUACCGACGUUACCGACGUUCGAACUCGUACGUCGUACGUACGCGUUACGCGUACGUCGUACGUACGUCGACGUUCGUACGUCGAGUUCCGGAGUACCGGUACGUACGUCGGAACGUCGCGUAAGGUACCGAGUACGAGCAGUGAUGGAG
rnacentral:rRNA from 1 species